GACGAACGCUGGCGGCGUGCCUAAUACAUGCAAGUAGAACGCACAGUUUAUACCGUAGCUUGCUACACCAUAGACUGUGAGUUGCGAACGGGUGAGUAACGCGUAGGUAACCUGCCUGGUAGCGGGGGAUAACUAUUGGAAACGAUAGCUAAUACCGCAUAAUAUUAAUUAUUGCAUGAUAAUUGAUUGAAAGAUGCAACUGCAUCACUACCAGAUGGACCUGCGUUGUAUUAGCUAGUAGGUGAGGUAACGGCUCACCUAGGCGACGAUACAUAGCCGACCUGAGAGGGUGAUCGGCCACACUGGGACUGAGACACGGCCCAGACUCCUACGGGAGGCAGCAGUAGGGAAUCUUCGGCAAUGGACGAAAGUCUGACCGAGCAACGCCGCGUGAGUGAAGAAGGUUUUCGGAUCGUAAAGCUCUGUUGUAAGAGAAGAACGGGUGUGAGAGUGGAAAGUUCACACUGUGACGGUAUCUACCAGAAAG
rnacentral:rRNA from 1 species